CCUACGGGAGGCAGCAGUGGGGAAUAUUGGACAAUGGGCGAAAGCCUGAUCCAGCAAUGCCGCGUGAGUGAUGAAGGCCUUCGGGUCGUAAAGCUCUUUUACCAGGGAUGAUAAUGACAGUACCUGGAGAAUAAGCUCCGGCUAACUCCGUGCCAGCAGCCGCGGUAAUACGGAGGGAGCUAGCGUUGUUCGGAAUUACUGGGCGUAAAGAGUACGUAGGCGGUUAUUCAAGUCAGAGGUGAAAGCCUGGGGCUCAACCCCGGAACUGCCUUUGAAACUAGAUAACUAGAGUCUUGGAGAGGUUAGUGGAAUUCCGAGUGUAGAGGUGAAAUUCGUAGAUAUUCGGAAGAACACCAGUGGCGAAGGCGACUAACUGGACAAGUACUGACGCUGAGGUACGAAAGCGUGGGGAGCAAACAGGAUUAGAUACCCUGGUAGUCCACGCCGUAAACGAUGAUAACUAGUUGUUCGGUCACUUGGUGACUGAGUGACGCAGCUACGCAUUAAGUUAUCCGUCCGUCGGGUAGGUACGGUCGCGAGAGUUAAAACUUAAAUAAGUAAGUUAGUACGGCGUGUAGACGUUGCGAACGACGACGACGAGGGAGGAGG
rnacentral:rRNA from 1 species